GGAUGAACGCUAGCGGCAGGCUUAACACAUGCAAGUCGAGGGGCAGCACGGGUAGCAAUACCUGGUGGCGACCGGCGCAAGGGUGCGUAACGCGUGAGCAACAUGCCCUAUACAGGGGGAUAGUCCAGGGAAACUUGGUCUAAUAUCCCAUAGCAUUUAGAGGAGGCAUCUUCACUAAAUUAAAGCUUCGGUGGUAUAGGAUUGGCUCGCGUGACAUUAGCUAGAUGGUGAGGUAACGGCCCACCAUGGCUAUGAUGUCUAGGGGUUCUGAGAGGAAGACCCCCCACACUGGGACUGAGACACGGCCCAGACUCCUACGGGAGGCAGCAGUGAGGAAUAUUGGACAAUGGAUGGAAAUCUGAUCCAGCCAUGCCGCGUGCAGGAAGACGGCCCUAUGGGUUGUAAACUGCUUUUAUAUGGGAGCAAUAAGGUUUACGAGUAGACCGAUGAGAGUACCAUAUGAAUAAGCAUCGGCUAACUCCGUGCCAGCAGCCGCGGUAAUACGGAGGAUGCGAGCGUUAUCCGGAUUUAUUGGGUUUAAAGGGUGCGUAGGCGGCUUAGUAAGUCAGCGGUGAAAUUUUGCAGCUUAACUGUAACAGUGCCGUUGAUACUGCCAGGCUAGGAUUUGGUUGCUGUGGGUGGAAUGUGUGGUGUAGCGGUGAAAUGCUUAGAUAUCACACAGAAUAUCGAUUGCGAAGGCAGCUCACAAAGCCAAGAUUGACGCUGAGGCACGAAAGUGUGGGGAUCAAACAGGAUUAGAUACCCUGGUAGUCCACACUGUAAACGAUGAUAACUCGCUGCCGGCGAUACACAGUCGGUGGCCAAGCGAAAGCGAUAAGUUAUCCACCUGGGGAGUACGACCGCAAGGUUG
rnacentral:rRNA from 1 species